GGUGCCACUUACAAUUCUACAAAGACAGAGCUGGAGGCUGCAUUCCCAAAUCAUCUGGUCCAGCCUCCGCCUAAUGCACUUAAUUCUUUUUGUCAGUGAGGAUCUCCAGACGCUUCAGCCAUCAGCGGAGAUGUCCUUGACUGUUGUAACAAUCAUUUCCUCUGUUACGAGAAGAGAUUGUAAGGGAAACUGCAGUUAGUGCAAGUUGACUCUCCAGAGGUGGGCUCAUUCAGACUAUGUGGAGGCGUUGACUCUCCGACAGGGGGCGUGGUUACCGGGCGCCAUAGCUGGCCGGAACUACGAAUCCCAGCGUACCCUGGGGCUAGAAGGCGGAGUCUAGUGAUCUAGGGGGCAGGGCCUUGGAGAAAGGGGGCAUUGUGCUGGGAGCGAGGUGCUGCCGCGGCUGCUGCUGCUGCUGCUGCAUUUGUCUGGUUUCCCAGUCGCUCGCGGAUCUUUUGUGGAAUCUUUGGCCCGGGGAGCUCGGAUGUGAAUGUGUCAACGGCGGCUGCAGUAACCGCAGCGGGGGACUGAUUAGUUGGGGGUGGGGGAGGGGAGGGAGAGAAAUAACUGGAAUUUUUUUACCCAGGGGAAUAAUGUUCCAAACUUACUUAAA
rnacentral:lncRNA from 1 species